UCUCUGGUGGCUGAGAAGGUAAAGACUCUGACUGCAAUGCAGAAGACCUAGGUUCAAUCCCUGGUUCGGGAA
rnacentral:tRNA from 1 species